GGCCCCUUCAUGGCUCAAGUAAAACUCACAGACUAACAGCACUACUGCAACUUUUAGCAAUCAAUGAAAGCUGGAUAGAAGCUGCUGAUCAUGUUUGGCAACUUUGCUGUCCACCCAAGACUCUUUGUGCCGAUCUGCGCAGCUGUCAUGCUGUUUACCGUGUGCUCAGAUGCUGCGAGAGCAACCCAAAAUCGAGUGACUUAUGAUGUGCCGAGACAACUUUAUAGUCUGUAUAGCCAACAUCGUCCCUCCUCUAUUGGUCCACUGUCAACAGAAACUGGACUCCACGGUGGAACUAAUGAUGAAACUGGGACAAGCUGGAAUCAUAGAGGGACCCCUUCAAUCAUUGAUCAACAAUCAAAACCUUUCCAGUUUACACAAGGUAUCUACAGUAACAGCCAAAACAGCCCUGAUAACAAGCGGAGAAUAAUAAAAGUGCAGCGAGGUCACAGAGCAGAUGGCGCGAGGCCAGCGAGCAGCUUUUUCACCAGCCAAUCGUCUCCCCAGCACGGAGGGCGAAGCUCAGGGAGUUGGCAUUCCAGGCAGAAUAACCACGCUCUCUCUCAGAAAGAAACCCCAACUGAAAAUUCUCCUGAUUCCCACUCAGUGAUCAUUAGAAAACCGUCUCCAGAAAAAGCUGGCAGUCGC